ACCCGCUGAACUUAAGCAUAUCAAUAAGCGCAGGAAAAGAAACCAACAGGGAUUGCCUCAGUAACGGCGAGUGAAGCGGCAACAGCUCAAAUUUGAAAUCUGGCCUCUCGGGGUCCGAGUUGUAAUUUGUAGAGGAUGUUUUGGGUACCGCCCCGGUCUAAAUUUCUUGGAACAGAAUGUCAAAGAGGGUGAGAAUCCCGUCUUGGACCGGCGGUAGGGCCUGUGUAAAACUCCUUCGACGAGUCGAGUUGUUUGGGAAUGCAGCUCAAAAUGGGUGGUAAAUUUCAUCUAAAGCUAAAUAUUGGCCAGAGACCGAUAGCGCACAAGUAGAGUGAUCGAAAGAUGAAAAGCACUUUGAAAAGAGAGUUAAACAGUAUGUGAAAUUGUUGAAAGGGAAGCGCUUGCAACCAGACUUGAGCGCGGCGGUUCCCCUGGCCUUUUGGCCAGGUUACUCCGUCGUGUCCAGGCCAACAUCGGUUUCGAGGGUCGGUCAAAGGCUCCGGGAAUGUAUCUACCCACGGGUAGACUUAUAGACCGGGGUGUCAUGCGACCUCUCGGGACCGAGGAACGCGCUUCGGCUCGGAUGUUGGCGUAAUGGUUGUCAGCGACCCGUCUUGAAACACGG
rnacentral:rRNA from 1 species